UUCAUCAUUGUAGAGUUUGCCAUCGCUCUGCCUUUGGUGCAGAGUCUUCAUCGUAGAGCGGGGCCAUCGCCUCCCUUCUCGCCAGAGUCGCCUUGCACGAUGUUGCCUUUGACAAGUCUAUUACUAAUUUCUUGAAGGAGGCGGACCUUUGUUUCCUAUCAUCCAUCGCUUUUCAUCUUCACCUUUCUUCUUCAAAUUUCAUCUUCAUUUCUCGAUUAACUUGUUAACUAUUACUUUAAUUUGUUGGAUAUGAUAUUUGAACAGUUGUAAUUUCAUCUUUCUUGGCUUUUCAUCUUUAAUCGGUGCAUGUAGAUUUGAUAUUCGAACUAUUAUAAUUUCGUUCUUGUACUGGUGUUUUAUGUUGCUGAUCUAACUAAUUAGUAUAUAGUUCCUUUUGAGUUAGACUAAGGUAUAGGCAUAUUUCAUUAAGCUUAUUUUUCAUCAUGUUGUUGUUAUAUAGUUCCUUCUGGUUUUGGUAUUGUUAUGUAGUUCCUUCUAGUUCUAGUGGUGUUGUAAUUUUGUUCAGGUUCAGACAUAAUUUUUUGAUUUGAUGAAGGUAGUGACAGUAAGGAAGUAGAUUUAAAGGAAUGAAAAUUGGUAUGGAUUCAAAUACAAGCACAAAAGCUUCUCCAAUUAGGUGGUGCUUGUUGGAAUCAAAUUUCUCCAUUUGCUUUGAAUGUGAGUUGAGCUACUCUACUCACUUUAAUAUUCAUGUAUGAUACAUGAAAACUAAUGUUGACUCAAAGAUGUGGGUUAACCCAAUAGUAAAAACUUUGAUAGACAUUUUGGUUUGUCACAUGGUGCUUGUCACUCUAAAACAUAAACUUCUAUGACUACAAGGUCGAAUACUAUAACUAAUUGUUUAUUUAAUGUUAAGCAACUAAAAUAAAAGAUGAAUCCAUUGCAUAGUAUGCAUCGUGAGUUCUCUUUACUAUUGCAACCACUGGAUUUAGGUGGAGUGCAGCAACAAACAUUAUCACUGCAAGUGAAGAAGUUUGGCAAAAUUCUCUCUCUCAAUCAACCCUUUUAUUUUGCCUUUGAAUAACAUGAAAUCUUUGCCUUACAUCACUAUUUUGUUUGAUCCCUCUUAUCAAUAUCUCAUCAUCAUUAUUUUGUUAUACACGUGUCUUAUGUCUGACUAUUUAAAGACACGUUCUUAGUACAAUAAUUCCAAAAAGUACAAGGGAAAAGAAAAAAAGAGGAAAGGUGAAGUAAGAGGUGAUACAGACACAAUGCUUUUGCCUUCAUUUCUUUUCUUUAUUAUUCUUUUAUAUACAGAGAGAGCCAGAAAUUAGAAUUCUUGUUCACAAAAUUAAAGCAUUGUGCACCGGGGCAAAAGUCAAUUUCAAAGCUGUUGCAUUUUUCCUCGGCACAUGAAAAGGCUGCUUAAUUUCAAAGGAAGGGAUGUGACCAUUAUAAACUGUCAGGAGUCAAAUUCAAUAGAAAUCCUUCAACUGGAGUGCUUCAUCACCCUUCAUCAGCCAUAGAACUUAUUUUACUUGUAUCACUGUCGCUUUUCAAUGUCUAUGAUCUAUUGCUUUUUCUACGUCAUAAUUUAAUGAGAAAUUGCUAUGUGUAGGAGGGAUCACUUGAAAUUGAAUAGUGACAUAAUGUUAUGUGUGUUUGUAAAGUUAAUUGUGUUAUUUUUGAAAUUGUAUGACAAGUUAUAAAUAGAAUGGAUACUGAUAAAAUGUCAAAGGAAAUCAAUGAAUAUGCUUCUGAAUCAAGUGAUGGUGACUUGCUUGAGUUAUUGAUAAUUGAUAUGGUUUACGAUUAUGACAAGAACUUUUUAAAUGAAACAAAGGUUCAAACAUCUACAUUAUCUAGUUAUGACUUUGUUGUUGAGGUAUUAAAUAGAUAUGAAACAAUUUGCUUUGACUUGUUUCAAAUGGAGAAGACAUGUUUUGUUCAUGUUGGAUGUGGGCCUUCAAUCUUAUUAGUCCUAGACCCACAAAACACAAAACCUAGGGUUUUUUCCUUUUAGACUAAUAAUGUUAUUUUUUUUCUUUUAUAUUCUGUAAUUAGUUUUAUCUUUAUUAGAUUAGAUAUUAUAGUGAGUGAAUUGAGGGAUUCAAAUUUGAUUAUUCUCUCCCUCCCCCAUCUGUAUAUGCAUUGCAGUUUUUUUCAAAAAUAUACAAGAAAUUAUUCAGUAAAUAAUUUUAUGGUAUCAGAUCAAACACCUCAACUCCCUCGGCUUCUUCUUCUUCUUGUUGCUCUAUAACCUCUCACCCGAUGUCAUUUAUAGGCCAUCACGGGUGUUCCAAUCCAGCAAUGAAAGCAAGAAUUCAAUCAGUGAUCGCGACAAGACUGGGAGUACUGGGCUGAAUGGUGCGGAUGAUGACAAAGGAUCAAACGGUACGUUUGAUAGCACAGGGUCAAAGGCUUUGACUCUCUUCCUUAGAACAACAUCAGCAUCUGAGGUAUUUUUCUCAUAUCACAAUUACUCACCGAUUGAAUGGAAAUAACUACCUACAGUGGACCCAAAAUGUUCUCAUGGUUGUAUGAAGGAGAAACAAACGGAAAUAUUUAACAGUAUUCCUCCUCUACCACCAGCUAAUGAUACCCAAUAUGAAGUCUGGGUUGCUAAAAAUAAUAAGGUAAUGGUGUGGCUUGUGAACUCCAUAAUAGUAGAGAUCAAUAAGAGUUACUUGCUUGCAACCACUGCCAAAGAAAUAUGGGAGUCCACAAAGAAUACUUACUCAGUUAGAGAAAAUCUUGUUGCCAUAUUCCACGUAAAACAUUUUCUUAGAAGUCUCAUUCAAAGUGAUAAGUCUGUAACUCAGUAUUAUAUUACUAUAAUGAAAUUAUGGCAGUAAAUUAAUCUCUAUGAGAUCUAUGAGUGGUCUUGUCACAGGGAUGGGAUUUAUUACAGAAAACUGAUUGAUUGA